rnacentral:lncRNA from 1 species
AACACUCUUAAGAGUCUAAGACAUCUCUUGCAAAACUGAUUCAUGAUAUCUAUUCCAGAUCAUACGCACUGCAUUGGUUACAUGGAUUACAGCUGCAGACUUCUAACACAAAAUCCACACACAAGUACACGGACCCACUUGGAGGCCUCAGCCCCUUAUUUCCUGCUUCUCUCCACUGUCUUAUUUUCAAGCUGCUACUGGUGCACCAUGAGAACCUGAUUUAAUACUAAGUGUCCAUACCAAAGUCAAUGUCUGUCCCUACAGCAUAAUAUAACAUCGGUUAUCUCAAACAAUUGAUCUGGCUUAGUUCCUGGCCCAGGUGCAUAUUAGUUUUUGGAAGAAACUGAAUACAUAUUGUAAAAGUGUAUUAGCUCUUUCAAGCCAAAGGGGAGUGAUUAAAUAGAUGACUUCUCCAGGGGUGGAGGCCUUCAAGUGGGGCUAAAUGAGGAGGCAGAGAAUCCUAAGCACUCUGUUUCAUUUUCUUGUGAGCAAAAAACAUGAGACAGUGUCCUUUGUUUUUGAUUCUGGUAUUCUUUGUUCCACGCGGCAAAGAUUAGAAGCAGGGGCUGGGGA